UUUUUUUUUUUGGGUGGGGGGCAAGGUCUUGCUCUGUUGCCCAGGCUAUAGUGCAGUGGAACGAUCUUGCAUCUCAGCUCACUGCAACCUCUGCCUUCCAGGCUCCAGCGAUCCUCCCACUUCAGCCUCCCAGGUGGCUGGGACUACAGUUUCCUUUUAUAGAUUGUUGCUGUGAGAAGCUGCCUGGCAGACCUCUGUGUCUAUCUGCCUCUGAAUGUUCCCUUUGAAGAAAGAGAACCUAAAAGCUAAGACUAGAUUGGAGAAGUGAGGAUGGUGAGUAGACAGAAGUAGAAUGGAAAAGUCAACCCA
rnacentral:lncRNA from 13 species